UGCACUCACUACUGUAAGUCACUCUGGAUAAGAGCGUCUGCUAAAUGACAAAAA
rfam:Salmo salar isolate Sally breed double haploid chromosome ssa11, whole genome shotgun sequence.